GGCUUUUUAACUUGGUUUCCAGUUCAGUCCGACGAAGACACUCUGCAUCCAGGUCCUGGGGUUGGGAGCACGAGAAAAUCAUGGACACCAUGCUGUAUUCUUCCUAUGGCAUCCCGUCAGGGCCUGCACCAUCUCAAUUUGUUCCAUGACCAGUGAUGCUAACUCUGAUGGCUUAAGAUGGUGUGUGCCAGUCUUCUCCAAGACGGCCGGAAGCCAAGCUUAUACAUUCCAGGCAGGGAUUUGGAAGAUUCUUCUCUGUGCAUGACCAGCCGAGAAAGAAACCCCCAAAACAUUGACACUGUGAUUUCUCCAUGUGAACGGUUUAGCAAGUUCGCCAAGGUUGACCUGCCUCAUUCAUGCUUGUGGAGUGACUAACAAGGCUUCAGUGAUACCCCCUGAAACGUGAGUCAUCCAUAAGUCACUCUUCAUGGGAGAAGAGCCUCUCAUGUAAGCUUAGACCACAAACAACAACAAGAACAACCCAAAAAAUAAA